CUGUGUACUUGAGGCUUCUUGAAGCCCAGGCUCUAUGAAGCAAUACAUAGAAGUGGCCAUUGAAUUCAAGUCCCACAAUUUCCGUCUCAUAGACUGCACUAUUGUCACACGCAGAUGCAUUCAGAGGAUGGAAAGAUGUGUGCUGUGAAUGCUUCAAAGUAGAGCACUGUGCUACACUUGAACAGAGGUUACAGUUUCUAUGCUGUUGCUGGAUGAAUGGGACAGCAAGGAGGGGGAAUAACACAGUUUUAUGGAGUGGAAGGACAAACAGAAGGCAGAG